CUUUUGCCCCUGUAACGCUGGCGGGUGCGCUGGCUGCCCGGCGAGCUCGGGAGCUGCUGGAAACCAGCACAAAACCUGGGUGCCACCAGCAAGCAACAGCAGCUGCAGAUGCAGUGAUGCCUAAAAUGUGGCAUGAAAACUCAAGAGAUAUAGCAGAGAUAUCCAGUGAAAGCACAAGGAGCACCUAAGGAUCUCUGAUCAGAGCCCCAUCAUGCUGUGCACCGUACAAAGACUGUUCAUAAUCUAAGAUUUAGAUACAAAGGAAUAGGUGAAUAAAUAAACCAAUGGGAGAGGGAGGGAAGACAAAGUUACAGCAUAAACAUGAUCAAAUACUCAACACAGUGGUCUUAGGAGUCACAACAUGGCGGGGAGGGGGGGAAGCCUGGUCACUUCGACUCGUCUCCAUUGGAAUUGUGUAGCUCAGACACUGCACACUUGCUUAAAAGAUGGUCCCUGAAUGUUUCUGAAAUCCUCCAUUCUCCCUCUGUUUCAUACACCACAUAAGUUGGCUCCAUUAUUAAGCCUUUUUGCUGUUGUCAAACACUUACUGGCCUCUCUCAAUCAAAUCAGUAUAAUUACUUCCAUGGCUGUGCAAUUCGCAGAACAGUGUUCACUCAUUAACUGUCAAAGUGGUCAUUGAUUGUCGUUCCUUUGAGUUAUUCAUUGCUGAAAAGAUCAUGCAUGACUCUUACACAUCUUAUCGAGACAGUCGGGUUGCUCAUAAGACAUGUAAUAGACAUGCACAAUCUACUGUUUGUCUCCUUUAUAUCUGCAAAUUAAAAACCAAAACAGCACUGCCACAGUAGGGUUAAUGGUCUGACUUUACACCUGCUCUGCAGAAAUAAGGAAAUGAAGGGGUCUGGUCUAUACAAAAAAAUUGUACUUGUGAAACUAAAUUGGUUUCUAAAUUGAUUUAGUUAUAUUGGUGCAGCCCCCUUGGUUUAAUAGUGGUUAAUAUUGAUUUAGCUUAAUUUGGUUUGCUACUGCUUUAAGUCAAUAUCCAUAAUUUACACCCUCGAAGUCCCAUUACACUGCCAGAACAGUGUACUAGGGUCUCAUUGUAAAUGACAAUCAGACCCUUAGAAUUCAAAUCAUAUUAAAUAAAUAAAUAAAUAAAUAACACAUCUUGGCACCAGCCAGAUGUGUGCCAAACACAAGGAAACCAAUUCGCAUAUAGUUCUGUUCUGGUGAUUUUGUUUUAGUCUCUUGUACUCCUGGAAGCCCCAUGUUAAAAUUUUGCUAUCAUAUUGGAUGCACGAAGUCUCAUGUAUUUACCAGGAAUGUACUCGGGGAGGAUACCUCCAAGAUCCACUUGCCGUUUCCACAAACACU